rnacentral:rRNA from 1 species
GCAAGUCGAACGAGAACGGUUCCUUCGGGGACUUAUUAAAGUGGCGGACGGGUGAGUAACACGUGAAUAACGUACCCUCGAGCGGGGGACANCCAUNGGAAACGAUGGCUAAUACCGCAUAAGACCACGCUCCCUUCGGGGAGAGGGGUCAAAGCCUUCGGGCACUCGAGGAUCGGUUCGCGGCCCAUUAGUUAGUUGGUGAGGUAAUGGCUCNCCAAGACCGAGAUGGGUAGCUGGUCUGAGAGGAUGAUCANCCACNCYGGGANUGAGACACGGCCCAGACUCCUACGGGAGGCAGCAGUGGGGAAUCUUGCGCAAUGGGCGAAAGCCUGACGCAGCAACGCCGCGUGUGUGAUGAAGGCCUGUGGGUCGUAAAGCACUGUCAGGAGGGA